GUGCCAGCAGCCGCGGUAAUACGUAGGGCGCAAGCGUUAUCCGGAAUUAUUGGGCGUAAAGAGCUCGUAGGCGGUUUGUCGCGUCUGCUGUGAAAACGCGGGGCUCAACUCCGCGCCUGCAGUGGGUACGGGCAGACUAGAGUGCGGUAGGGGAGAUUGGAAUUCCUGGUGUAGCGGUGGAAUGCGCAGAUAUCAGGAGGAACACCGAUGGCGAAGGCAGAUCUCUGGGCCGUGACUGACGCUGAGGAGCGAAAGGGUGGGGAGCAAACAGGCUUAGAUACCCUGGUAGUCCACCCCGUAAACGUUGGGAACUAGUUGUGGGGGCCUUUCCACGGUCUCCGUGACGCAGCUAACGCAUUAAGUUCCCCGCCUGGGGAGUACGGCCGCAAGGCUAAAACUCAAAGGAAUUGACGGGGACCCGCACAAGCGGCGGAGCAUGCGGAUUAAUUCGAUGCAACGCGAAGAACCUUACCAAGGCUUGACAUACACCGGAAACGUCCAGAGAUGGUCGCCCCUUUUUGGUCGGUGUACAGGUGGUGCAUGGUUGUCGUCAGCUCGUGUCGUGAGAUGUUGGGUUAAGUCCCGCAACGAGCGCAACCCUCGUUCUAUGUUGCCAGCACGUUAUGGUGGGAACUCAUGGGAUACUGCCGGGGUCAACUCGGAGGAAGGUGGGGAUGACGUCAAAUCAUCAUGCCCCUUAUGUCU
rnacentral:rRNA from 1 species